ensembl:lncRNA
GUUUGGUUUUAAGUAAUGUGUUGUGUGAUAUCAGACCCUACUCUCUCAAUCUUUCUCUCUUUCAAAUAAUUAAAUUAUGAACCCUGGGGUCUCACCAUCUCCCAUGACUCUAGUGACUGGAGGCCCAUGGGACACUGGCAGGGCCAUGUCGCAGCAAAGGGUAUAUGUGGAGGGGGGCAUAAAUUCUCGCUCACUUGCCGCCGUGCUGGGCUGUCACCUCAGAUCACUCACUGGCAUCUCCCGUGAGUCCAUGUGCAACCAGCAACCUGACAACAAGCGCAAAAUGUGCAGCUCAAGAAGUAAAGCUUGCUGAAACAGAAACAAGGCUGAAGACAUUCUGCUGGGAGAAGAUGGCGUAAAAGAGGCAGUAUUGAGUAAUAGUGACCUGCGCUGGCAGCAAUGUGUGUGUGUGUGUGUGUGUGUGUGUGUGUGUGUGUGUGUGUGUGUGUGUGUGUGUGUGUGUGUGUGUGUGUGUGUGUGUGUAAACACGGCCCUGACGUCUAUCCAGCUGCUCUCGUUCCCCUGGGCAUCACUGUCUCCUGCUUCACUAUCACUACCGUGGUCAGGUGUCAUCAGAAAUACAGCAGCCAUAUUGAACAGCUCUCGCCAGGAGCAGCGGGAACACUUCACCUGAGCCGAGGUGGCCUUACGACCUCCAGCCAUACGGAGGCCUGACUGUGUCACAGCUGAUGCGAGGAGGAGCGACUGGUCCCUCCCAGGGUGGACAGAGUCCGCAGGGCACACAUUUAGUAGAAAAAGAAGCAGAUGAAACAAUGAAAAAGCAGGUGACCUAUAGUAACCCAAGAGUGAGGAAAUGAAUAAGAGGUUUGGGACUUGCAAACAUUGCCAGUAACGCUCUUUGGAUGCUUCUCUUAAUGGAAGCAGCUCUGCUUUUGUCCCCAUAGCAACCCUAUGGAUGCAGAUUUUACAGUUAUGAAGACAUCUAAAGAUAUCCAGUUAUCCAAUGUAAUGAAGUUCACAUGUUUUUAGUGUGUUCAAAUAGUUUUUGGAGGCACUGUAAUGAAACGGUGAGAACAGUGACCUUGCUAAUCAAUAUUCAAGCUCUCUAUGAGCUUCUGUGGAUGGUCCUGUAGAGAAGGCCUGGUUCAUCACAAGGAUAUCCUGCAGAAAGAGGUCUGUGGUUAAUGAGAUGUGGAAAAUGUCUGUUGCAGAAACACAAGCCAAUGGAAAGUCUCUUUCCUUUGCUUGAGCUAUGAGGAUGUGCUCCACUGUUACUUCCUGAUUGAUUAGACCAUAUCCUUAUAAAGCAUGUCAACACACACACACACGUCUUUCGGUUUCACACUGGUGCUUUUCUACUUAGAGACACCAAGUCAGCUGAUUUGUUUCCUAAUUUUUUUUAAGUUAUUUGAAGUAGAAUAAAGUAACACUUUAUUUUAAGGUCUAGUUCUCACUAUUAAUUAGCAUGCAUAUUACUAGCAUAUUGACUGUUUAUUAGUAAUAAAGCGCAUAUUAAUCUAGUUAGUCUUAUUCUGCGUGAUAUUUUAGAUCUCUUGAUCCUACCAAUACCUAAAUGUAACAACUACCUUACUAACUAUUAAUAAGCAGCACAUUAGCAGUUUACUAAGUCAUAAUAGUUAAUUAAUAGUGAGAACUGGACGUUAAAGUAAAAAAUAACCUGUGACCAAUAUUUUAUAUUUAAAAAAUACUGCGAUAACUUUAUUAUCAAAAAUGUUUUUUACAGUAGUACAGUACAGUAGUG